CUUCCUCAGAAAAAAACAUCCACAGCAUAAACAUAACCUUUGUCACCAGUCCACCAAAGAUGUUAUCCAGCAUUUACUCUGUUCUAUAUUAAAGUGAUCCCGUGCAUUUAAGUGGCUGGAGGAUAUGGUGCUGCCAAGAGAAAAUUCCCUGCUACAGUGCAUAAGGGCAGGGAUCACUGCAAGAAGAGAGGUUGCUUGCUUUACAUCCAUCUGGCCUAAGAAAAGGAGGCAUGGAAACUCAAGGCAAGAUAUCCAGGGUACUCAAAACUGGCUUAACAGUGUACUCCUCUAUACUGUGGCAACUGGGGAUUUCAACAGGCUGUCACCAGCAUUUGGGCAGGAGACCCAGAGAGAUGUCACAUCACCUCCCCAGCAGCAGUUCCAUAAGCCUCCCAUAAGUGCCUACAGAACCAUAAUGUUAGGAGCAGCACACACCACCACAUAACACCAUCAGAGGCUGAGGGUUGGAAACAAGCGUUCUGGACGUCAGUUUCCUUUGAAGCACCCCACGACCACUCAUCAGAGUGACCCUCCAAAUCACAACUGCAUCUCCCCCUCACCAGCCUGAUGCUCUGCAGGCACGAGCCAGUAAUAUAUUACCUAAAUUCACUCACCGCUGCGAGUCAACUGCUCAAACAUCUAAAUAAGCAACCUAAGGGUAGGUUCAACCUAGACGCUUUCCUGUUGUGCUAGUUAAGAGAAAGAAAUACUUGUGCUCCCUCCAAGCUGGCACAAGUCCUAGCACACAUACAGUUACAUCAGUGAACAGUGAGCACUCUUGCUGCUAUAGCUCACUUCACUCAGCAUCACCCGCACAAUUCGAGUGCUUUUUGCCAGCA